rnacentral:rRNA from 1 species
UACGUAGGGGGCUAGCGUUGUCCGGAAUCAUUGGGCGUAAAGCGCGUGUAGGCGGUCCGGUAAGUCCGCUGUGAAAGUCGGGGGCUCAACCCUCGGAUGCCGGUGGAUACUGUCGGGCUUGAGUACGGAAGAGGCGAGUGGAAUUCCUGGUGUAGCGGUGAAAUGCGCAGAUAUCAGGAAGAACACCCGUGGCUAAGGCGGUUCUCUAGUACGGUACUGACGCUGAGACGCGAAAGCGUGGGGAGCGAACAGG